AUUUACACAUAUAAGAUCAUAGAAUUAUUAACUAGGAAGCUAAGCAGGAUCCAUCUUGGCUAGUACUUGGAUGGGAAACCACCAUGGAAUACCAGGUUCUGUAUGUU
rnacentral:rRNA from 1 species